rnacentral:rRNA from 1 species
UGGGGAAUCUUCCGCAAUGGGCGCAAGCCUGACGGAGCAAUGCCGCGUGAACGAAGAAGGUCUUCGGAUUGUAAAGUUCUGUCCUUAUCGAAGAGAGGGUAUAGAGUGAAAAAUGAUAUACUAGGACGGUAGAUGAGGAGGAAGCCCCGGCUAACUACGUGCCAGCAGCCGCGGUAAUACGUAGGGGGCGAGCGUUGUCCGGAAUCACUGGGCGUAAAGGGCGCGUAGGCGGUAAUAUAAGUCAGAUGUGAAAGGUGGGGGCUCAACCCCUAGAGUGCAACUGAUACUGUAUAACUUGAGUGU